rnacentral:rRNA from 1 species
AUACCGCUGACGACCGGCGCACGGGUGAGUAACACGUAUCCAACCUACCCCUUAACGGGGAUAGCCUUUCGAAAGAGAGAUUAAUACCCCCUAGUAUAGCGAUAAGGCAUCUUAUUGCUAUUAAAGAAUUUCGGUGUUUGAUGGGGAUGCGUUCCAUUAGAUUGUUGGUGAGGUAACGGCUCACCAAGUCUUCGAUGGAUAGGGGUUCUGAGAGGAAGGUCCCCCACAUUGGAACUGAGACACGGUCCAAACUCCUACGGGAGGCAGCAGUGAGGAAUAUUGGUCAAUGGACGAGAGUCUGAACCAGCCAAGUAGCGUGAAGGAUGAAGGCCCUAUGGGUCGUAAACUUCUUUUAUAGGGGAAUAAAGUGCGGAACGUGUUCCGUUUUGUAUGUACCCUACGAAUAAGGAUCGGCUAACUCCGUGCCAGCAGCCGCGGUAAUACGGAGGAUCCGAGCGUUAUCCGGAUUUAUUGGGUUUAAAGGGAGCGUAGGUGGACGUAUAAGUCAGUUGUGAAAGUUUGCGGCUCAACCGUAAAAUUGCAGUUGAUACUGUAUGUCUUGAGUGUACAAGAGGUGGGCGGAAUUCGUGGUGUAGCGGUGAAAUGCUUAGAUAUCACGAAGAACUCCGAUUG